GACGAACGCUGGCGGCGUGCUUAACACAUGCAAGUCGAACGGAAAGGCCCUGCUUUUGUGGGGUGCUCGAGUGGCGAACGGGUGAGUAACACGUGAGUAACCUGCCCUUGACUUUGGGAUAACUUCAGGAAACUGGGGCUAUUACCGGAUAGGAGCUCCUGCUGCAUGGUGGGGGUUGGAAAGUUUCGGUGUUGGUGGCUUGUAUAGCGGCUUCUCAGCUUGAUGGUGGGGUUGUGGAUUCCAAAGGCUUUGAAGGGUAGGCGGCCUGGGAGGGUGACCGGCCACAUUGGGACUGAGAUACGGCGCAGACUCCUACGGUAGGCAGCAGUCGGGAAUAUUGCACAAUGGGCGGAAGCCUGAUGCAGCAACGCCGCGUGCGGGAUGACGGCCUACGGGUUGUAAACCGCUUUCGCCUGUGACGAAGCGUGAGUGACGGUAAUUGGUAAAGAAGCACCGGCUAACUACGUG
rnacentral:rRNA from 1 species